UACGUAGGUGGCGAGCGUUGUCCGGAAUUACUGGGUGUAAAGGGCGAGUAGGCGGGUAAGUAAGUCAGGUGUGAAAUUUCAGGGCUCAACCCUGAAACUGCAUUUGAAACUGCAUAUCUUGAGUGGUGGAGAGGUAAGCGGAAUUCCCGGUGUAGCGGUGGAAUGCGUAGAUAUCGGGAGGAACACCAGUGGCGAAGGCGGCUUACUGGACACUAACUGACGCUGAGGCGCGAAAGCGUGGGGAGCAAACAGG
rnacentral:rRNA from 1 species